rnacentral:tRNA from 1 species
GCAUUGGUGGUUCAGAAGUAGAAUUCUCACCUUCCGUGCAAGAGAUUUAGGUUCAAUUCCUGGCCAACACA